rnacentral:rRNA from 1 species
GUAUUGGCCUACCGGGGAUAUGACGGGUAACGGGGAAUUAGGGUUCGAUUCCGGAGAGGGAGCCUGAGAAACGGCUACCACAUCUAAGGAAGGCAGCAGGCGCGCAAAUUACCCAAUCCUAAUACAGGGAGGUAGUGACAAGAAAUAACAAUACGAAGCCAAACCGUUUUGUAAUUGCAAUGAGUUGAGAUUAAAUCUCUCAACGAGUAACAAUUGGAGGGCAAGUCUGGUGCCAGCAGCCGCGGUAAUUCCAGCUCCAAUAGCAUAUAUUAAAGUUGUUGCAGUUAAAAAGCUCGUAGUUAAUUUUCUGU